rnacentral:rRNA from 1 species
GAUGAACGCUGGCGGCGUGCCUAAUACAUGCGAGUCGAGCGAACAGACGAGGAGCUUGCUCCUUCGACGUUAGCGGCGGACGGGUGAGUAACACGUAGGUAACCUACCUAUAAGACUGGGAUAACUUCGGGAAACCGGAGCUAAUACCGGAUAAUAUUUCGAACCGCAUGGUUCGAUAGUGAAAGGUGGCUUUGCUAUCACUUAUAGAUGGACCUGCGCCGUAUUAGCUAGUUGGUAAGGUAACGGCUUACCAAGGCAACGAUACGUAGCCGACCUGAGAGGGUGAUCGGCCACACUGGAACUGAGACACGGUCCAGACUCCUACGGGAGGCAGCAGUAGGGAAUCUUCCGCAAUGGGCGAAAGCCUGACGGAGCAACGCCGCGUGAGUGAUGAAGGUCUUCGGAUCGUAAAACUCUGUUAUUAGGGAAGAACAAACGUGUAAGUAACUGUGCACGUCUUGACGGUACCUAAUCAGAAAGCCACGGCUAACUACGUG